GACGGGGGGGGCAAGCGUUGUUCGGAAUUACUGGGCGUAAAGGGCUCGUAGGCGGCCAACUAAGUCAGACGUGAAAUCCCUCGGCUUAACCGGGGAACUGCGUCUGAUACUGGAUGGCUUGAGUUUGGGAGAGGGAUGCGGAAUUCCAGGUGUAGCGGUGAAAUGCGUAGAUAUCUGGAGGAACACCGGUGGCGAAGGCGGCAUCCUGGACCGACACUGACGCUGAGGAGCGAAAGCCAGGGGAGCAAACGGG
rnacentral:rRNA from 1 species